GAUUAAAGUGUAAUUGUUUGGUGGUUUUGUACACAGCACGAAGCAUAAUAAACAAAGCCAACUUUUUUUUUUUUCUCUCUCUCUCUCUCUCUCUCUCUCUAAAUAGUAGAUCUUUUUGGUGUAUUCCCAAUAUCUUCAAAACCCUAUUUCUUGGUUUGGUAACAUUGCUUGCAGAGAAUUUUCUAACCAAAUAAUGUUGGUUGCAGUGUUAAUUUGGAAGAUGUUACCGCCUUUGGACUCCCCUCAAUUGAAGACUUUCUUAUUAUGAGCCAGAGGUGAAAUGGAAUUUCACAAGUGGUUUGCAGAGACCACUAGCAAAGCAGAGCAGAGAUGCCCAAAGAGCAGAGACUGAAAUAACAGCAAGUAAUUCUGCCAAUAUGUGUAACCACAAGGAGAGAAAAUUGAGUGGUUAAAAGUUUUGGCAGUGAACCUAGACGUGAUUGCGAGCAACGUAAAAGGUAGCUAGAGAAUAUCAAGUGCAGGUUCCAGCAGCUAGAAAGUUGAGGGGUAAUAUUAAGCGGUUGACCCACAUUUAUUCUCAUGAAAAUCAGUAUUGGCCUAAUAUGUGCUACAGAAACAUGCAAAUAUGCUGGGCCAACAGCAUGUGCUUCUAGUACAUAUGCUUUGACUGUAGAAAAUGUUGAAAAGGACUUGAUCGCAUGCAGAUGGAAUUGAAAGAACAAGGUAUCGGAAGGCCAGAAAUCAAUUUAGUAAUUUAUAAUAUCCUUCAUUUGACCAGCAAUUCUGAUCAUGAAUCUGACCAGGUUAACUUUCUUCUGAUGGAUUCCCUUUUCUCUCGGUUGGUUCGGCUACUCAGAGGCCAAUAUUUAUUGUCUGUAUACACAGUGACCAUUGAAAUUCUUCUCUAUAUAUAGCUGUGAAACAAUUUGUUUCUCAAUACAACAAGCUAAGAAGAAGAAAAAUUGUAUGUCAGCUGUCCCCUGGAGUUUCCCUGACCACUUCACUGGUACUCUUAAUCCUCAGACUUAGACUGAGCCACUGAGGUUAAUCUAAGCCCACUGAAGUGUUUGGGGGAACUCUGGUUGCCAUCUGACUGUUGAUUUGCAAGAAAAGGGUAAUUGUUAAGUAACGGCAAGUCUUUUGGUUCAUAAUAUUCUUCACUGCAUUUGAUAUUUUUGUAAUUUCUUUCUUUUUGUUUCAGUCAUCUGUCUUCUCUUGGUCUUUUGUGCAUAAGUUGAGCCGCUGCAGUAGUCAUCUACAGCUUAUAUCUUAGUUUGCUUCCCGAAGGAAACAUCAUUAUCACCCUGAACGAGACAAAACCAUAGGAAAUUUCAUUAAGAGUAUUUUUACAUUAUGAUAAAACACACAAGACUUAUUUUAUAUUUUCUAUUGCACUAGCUGGCUUUUUUUUUUAUUAAGCUGCAGUUUGUUGGCAAAGCAAUAUUUAAUAGAUGUCUAAGCGCUAAGCUAUAGGAUUCACAAUUUAGACCCUAGGUUGCUCUCAAAGAGUUUAAUAAUCACCAUCUAUAUAGACAUAACAUUACUAUUGGUCCAUGUGUAUGCUCGUGUAUUAGUAGAUCUUAGAAAUAAUUCAUUGAACUUUGAAUUGAUUUGCAAACACAUAGAUCGGUAGUGAUGCGAUACAAGUAUUGCCUAACCAUUCAUAAUACAUGUACAUAUUAGGUAGGUUGCAGGUGUAGAUGAGUUUAAAAGAUGGAACUGAUUACUCAUAUAGGAUCAGGAUGGUUUCACGUAUGGUGGAAUAGAUUUACGAACAAGCAUAGAGAAUUUCUGGGAAUAAGUUGUAUGCCAAAUUCUUUAUAUAUUAGUUAACAAAGCAUCAACUCUUCUGAGCACUGCAGUUGGGUUGGGUUUGCUCAGGAUGUUAGUGUUCUUCAUGCUCCUUUCACUACAGCUACGUUCAAAGUGGCAUCAUCAGUCCAUGACCAAUUAAAGUAACUGCAAAUGGUAAGAAGACUUUCUUCAUCAUUAUUGAAUGCCAUACAACAUGUAUCUACGAUUUUCCUUUCUUUCAUUUUUUUUCUUAUGCAAUUUGAGAGUGAAGAUGUUUUGUUUUGUUAUUUACUGUAAAGGGAUGCCAAAAACUGAUAGGUUGCUAAUGAGUUAAGAGUUGGAAAUUGAUCACACUUUUUCUUCAUUGAUUUUGGGAGCAGAGUGGAAGUUAAAAGUUCCAUGUCUAUGAUGAGUGGAAUAUUUUUGUUAAUGUUAAGACUUGGGAGGUCUUAGAGGCUGCAAAGAACUUAACUACUUAUAUUGCUGUCUAGCUAUCUGGGGAACAGCCACUAGUGUUCUAAAUUAAAGAUUUUAUUUUAUUUUAUUUUA